UACAGAGGUGGCAAGCGUUGUUCGGAAUUACUGGGCGUAAAGGGCGCGUAGGCGGUCUUGUAAGUCUUGUGUGAAAUCCCUCGGCUUAACUGAGGAACUGCACGGGAUACUGCGAGACUUGAGAUCGGGAGAGGGAAGCGGAAUUCCGGGUGUAGCGGUGAAAUGCGUAGAAUAUCCGGAGGAACACCGGUGGCGAAGGCGGCUUCC
rnacentral:rRNA from 1 species